CAUACCACCCUGAAUGCGCCUGAUCUCGUCUGAUCUCAGAAGCUAAGCAGGGUCGGGCCUGGUUAGUACUUGGAUGGGAGAAAACAAGUC
rnacentral:rRNA from 1 species